CCAUCGUAGUCUUAACCAUAAACUAUGCCGACUCGGGAUUGGUGGAUUCUUUUUACCUCCCCCUCCACCCCAUGUGAAAAAUCACUCUUCUUUGGGUUGGGGGGGGAUUAUGGUCAGGCUGCUGAAACUUAAAAAAAUUGACGGGGGGCCACCACCAAGAGUGGAGCCUGCUUAUUUUUUUGACUCACCACGGGAAAACUUACCAGGUCCCAACAUGAGGAUGAUUGACUUAUUGAGUUCUUCUUUCUUGAUUCUAUGUGGUGGUGGUGCAUGGUUCUUCUUUGGUGGUGGAGAUGAUUUGUCUGGAUAAUUCCGUUAAACAACACCACCGCUGCCUGCUUAGUUUUACUAUGAGUUUUUUUCACUGACUGCUGCUUUCAUAGACGGACAUUCAUUCUAUUGACGCAGAUGGAUAGCAUCACUAACCUGUGAUGAUGCCCUUAUAUGGCCUCGCCGCACGUUACUUGAUGCAUGCACUCAGCGUAUCUAUUGUGGGAGAGACGUGUGCGCUCUCUG
rnacentral:rRNA from 1 species